rnacentral:lncRNA from 1 species
AAAAACGUUCCUUCAUUCUUUCCCUUCAUGACAAGCCAUUAAACACAGUCUAGAAUAGUCUUAAAUAACAUCUUGUUUCUAACUGAAUCUUCUUUGAAGCAGAAAGUCACACUAAUCAACCCAGGCAAUUACUAACAGCACAUCUGCACAACGAAUAUCUGAAGUGGAAAACAUUUGCUCCACAGCAGCAUCAUUAUAACGGCAGGAGCAAGGAAGACUAUCACACUGAUGGGAACUGGGGGAUCUUGUUAAAUUCCUAAUGGCCAAUGCUGCUUGUGCUGCUCUGGAAGAAGGAGAGAGCCUUUGAGAAGAUGCUGGCAGAAUGGCAACAAGAAAAUAUGAAGAGCUGCAGGUGGAAGUGAACACUUCCCAGAAGCAAUAUGCAUGACUGAAUGAGGCAUCUCCAGGAAUCAGUUCCAAGGAUGUCACUUGAACUCCCAGAGCCUCCCUUACUUGCUAUACAGGGAGACAAGCUGCCUUGGCUUUUUUUCUUUUUAAUAAAUGAAAAUAUUCUGUAAAUUGUAAAAAUUGAUCUCCUCCAGGAGGCUGAAAGAUGACACUGUCAAUAUUUAGAAGAUGCAGAUUUAGAAUCUGCUUGCCUUUGCAGCCAAGAGAAAAUGGUGAUGGAGUCCCUGGCAGAGAUCCAGCGCUUCCUGGGCUGUCUCUCCCAACCUAUUACUCUGGCCUACAUCACCUGGCAAAGUGCCUCAUUCUGUUGCAUAGAGACAACGUGGAAUCCUAUUUGCAUUUUGUAUGAGCAGCCAUCUGAAAAUGGGAGAGGGGAAG